AUUGAACGCUGGCGGCAUGCUUUACACAUGCAAGUCGAACGGUAACAGGUCAAGCUGACGAGUGGCGAACGGGUGAGUAAUGCAUCGGAACGUGCCCGAUCGUGGGGGAUAACGCAGCGAAAGCUGCGCUAAUACCGCAUACGAUCUGAGGAUGAAAGCGGGGGACCGUAAGGCCUCGCGCGAUCGGAGCGGCCGAUGUCAGAUUAGGUAGUUGGUGGGGUAAAGGCUCACCAAGCCGACGAUCUGUAGCUGGUCUGAGAGGACGACCAGCCACACUGGGACUGAGACACGGCCCAGACUCCUACGGGAGGCAGCAGUGGGGAAUUUUGGACAAUGGGCGCAAGCCUGAUCCAGCAACGCCGCGUGCAGGAAGAAGGCCUUCGGGUUGUAAACUGCUUUUGUACGGAGCGAAAAGGCUCUCUCUAAUACAGGGGGUUCAUGACGGUACCGUAAGAAUAAGCACCGGCUAACUACGUGCCAGCCGCCGCAGUAA
rnacentral:rRNA from 1 species